GAUAAACGCUGACAGAAUGCUUAACACAUGCAAGUCAAUGAUGGGAAGCCAAGCUAAGCUUAGAAGAAGUCAUGGCGGACGGGUGAGUAACGUGUAAAGAACUUGCCCUCUAGACUGGGAUAACUUCGGGAGACCGGAGCUAAUGCCGGAUAACAUUUGGAACCGCAUGGUUCUAAAGUAAAAGAUGGUUUUGCUAUCACUUAUAGAUGGACCCGCGCCGUAUUAGCUAGUUGGUAAGGUAACGGCUUACCAAGGCAACGAUACGUAGCCGACCUGAGAGGGUGAUCGGCCACACUGGAACUGAGACACGGUCCAG
rnacentral:rRNA from 1 species